UACGGAGGGUGCAAGCGUUAUCCGGAUUCACUGGGUUUAAAGGGUGCGUAGGUGGGCAGGUAAGUCAGUGGUGAGAUCUCUGGGCUUAACCCAGAAACUGCCGUUGAUACUAUCUGUCUUGAAUAUAGUGGAGGUGAGCGGAAUAUGUCAUGUAGCGGUGAAAUGCUUAGAUAUGACAUAGAACACCCAUUGCGAAGGCAGCUCGCUACACUAUUAUUGACACUGAGGCACGAAAGCGUGGGGAUCAAACAGG
rnacentral:rRNA from 1 species